rnacentral:rRNA from 1 species
CUUGGCGACCAUAGCGUUUUGGACCCACCUGAAUCCAUUCCGAACUCAGAAGUGAAACGAAAUAGCGUCGAUGGUAGUGUGGGGUUUCCCCAUGUG